UUGAAGCUCCAACUAUACGUGCAGCAGCCCGUUGUCAGCCAUCCCUGCGCCAAGCUUGCCUUCAAGUUCUUCAGGCCGUACACCGUCGUCGAGAAGAUCGGGCUCAUGGCGUACAAGCUCAACCUGCCCGCGUCCAGUCGGGUGCACCCAGUCUUCCACGUCUCCCAGCUAAAGCUGUUCACACCAGACUAUACGCCGGUGUACGCGGAACUGCCACGGGUGCCUGACCUGUCCUUGGCCGGCAUGGCACCAACACGCAUCCUGGAGCGCCGGAUGAUGAAGAGGGGCAAUGCACCGGUGGUUCAGAUUAAGGUGCAGUGGGGCGACAGUUCACCGUACGCAGUCACCUGGGAGGAUUUCGACGUGCUGCGCAAACGCUUUCCUGCCGCUGCAAUCUGGGAGGUUGAAGACGCAAGCUCACAGGAGGAGGCUGGAUCGCAAGGUGGGGAGAAUGUCACGCCUGGCCACUUGGCCACCACUUGUCCAGCGUGA
rnacentral:rRNA from 1 species